rnacentral:misc_RNA from 1 species
UGUUUGUUAUGUAAAAUUUUUUGUCUAUCCCUAAGAAAAGGUGGAUAAGUUUAAUAGCUUAAAAACUUUUUUUAGGAUGGCUAAAAGACUUUUUCUAAAUUAAACUUUUGUAUUCAUUUGUCUAAAUUUAAUAAAAAAUAAUUUAAAAACAACUUUUGACAAUGGAUCUCUUGGUUCUCGCAACGAUGAAGAACGCAGCAAAAUGCGAUAAGUAAUGUGAAUUGCAGAAUACGUGAAUCAUCAAAUCUUCGAACGCAUAUUGCACUUUUUUAGUUUACUAAAAAAGUAUGUCUGUUUGAGUAUCAGUAAAAUAUUCUCAUAAAAUCAUUUGAUUUUAUGGUUAUGAGUGUUUUACAACGAUAAACAAGUUGUUUCACUUUAAAUGGAUUUUAUUGAAAUCGUCGGUUGGGAACGAUUUAAUUUUUUAAAAAUUGGAUAAAAUUUUCCCGUAAAAAGGAAUAAGCUAUUUCAGUUUUUAGAAUUUUUAAUAGUCCAUACCGGUACAGAUAAAGGAAAUUUAUUUAUAAAUAACUUGAUCUCAAUCAGAUAAGAGUACCCGCUGAACUUAAGCAUAUCAAUAAGCGGAGGAAAAGAAACUAACAAGGAUUCCCUUAGUAACGGCGAGUGAAGCGGGAAGAGCUCAAAUUUGAAAUCUUCAAGGUUCUACCUUGACGAAUUGUAGUUUAAAGAAGUGUUUUCUGUUAGAGGAGUGGCAAAAGUUCUUUGGAAUAGGACAUCAUAGAGGGUGAGAAUCCCGUAUUUGGUCAUUCUUCUAGCUGUGUGAUACACUUUCAAAGAGUCGGAUUGUUUGGGAAUGCAGUCCAAAAUGGGUGGUAAAUUUCAUCUAAAGCUAAAUAUUGGCGAGAGACCGAUAGCGAACAAGUACCGUGAGGGAAAGAUGAAAAGAACUUUGAAAAGAGAGUUAAACAGUACGUGAAAUUGUCAAAAGGGAAGCGUUUGACACCAGUGUGUUUUUCGAAAAUCAAUUGUGCUGGCGGAUUUUGUAGGAGUUUGACCUUAUCAGCUUCUUCUGCUUUUUUCCGGUCUGGUGCAAUGCACUUUUCGGUUAACAAGUCAACAUCAAUUUCUUUUGUUGUAAAAGGGUAAUGGAAGGUGGCUUUCUUUUCGGAGAAAGUGUUUAUAGCCUUUUACCUCUACAAUCGGAGAGAUUGAGGUCUGCAGCGUAGAUCCUUCGGGGUUAGAUACAUUUGUGCUAAGUUAUAGCCCUGUAUAGACAACUUGUUGACUAUACUCGGUCAUGUAGCUUACUCGCUUAUGCUAUUUUACCUACGCUUAGAUGUUGA